rnacentral:sRNA from 1 species
GUUCAGGGUAUCGGGGAGUAGCGAUCAUCAGCGAUGAUGAGAGCACGUCAACAUAUUCGCGGCUCAUCCGCGUGGCGUGCUCGGUCCAAAGAGACUUUGCGAGACCGUGGCGUGGGGA